UGGGGAAUAUUGCACAAUGGGCGCAAGCCUGAUGCAGCCAUGCCGCGUGUAUGAAGAAGGCCUUCGGGUUGUAAAGUACUUUCAGCGGGGAGGAAGGGAGUAAAGUUAAUACCUUUGCUCAUUGACGUUACCCGCAGAAGAAGCACCGGCUAACUCCGUGCCAGCAGCCGCGGUAAUACGGAGGGUGCAAGCGUUAAUCGGAAUUACUGGGCGUAAAGCGCACGCAGGCGGUUUGUUAAGUCAGAUGUGAAAUCCCCGGGAUCAACCGGGGAACUGCAUCUGAUACUGGCAAGCUUGAGUCUCGUGGAGGGGGGUAGAAUUCCAGGUGUAGCGGUGAAAUGCGUAGAGAUCUGGAGGAAUACCGGUGGCGAAGGCGGCCCCCUGGACGAAGACUGACGCUCAGGUGCGAAAGCGUGGGGAGCAAACA
rnacentral:rRNA from 1 species